rnacentral:rRNA from 1 species
CCUACGGGAGGCAGCAGUGGGGUAUCUUGCACACUGGUGGAAACCCUGAUGCAGCGACGUCGCGCGAGUGCAGAAGUAUUUCGGUACGUAAAGCACUAUCAGCAGGGAAGAAAAUGACGGUAUCUCACUAUGAAGCCCCGGCCUACUACGUGCCAGCAGCCGCGGUAAUACGUAGGGGGCAAGCGUUAUCCGGAUUUACUGGGUGUAAAGGGUGCGUAGGCGGCAGCGCAAGUCUGGAGUGAAAUCCCAUGGCUUAACCAUGGUACUGCUUUGGAAACUGUGCAGCUAGAGUGCAGGAGAGGUAGGCGGAAUUCCGAGUGUAGCGGUGAAAUGCGUAGAUAUUAGGAGGAACACCAGUGGCGAAGGCGGCUUACUGGACUGUAACUGACGUUGAGGCUCGAAAGCGUGGGGAGCAAACAGGAUUAGAUACCCGAGUAGUC